CAGCCGCCGCGGGAAUACGAAGGGGGCUAGCGUUGUUCGGAAUCACUGGGCGUAAAGCGCACGUAGGCGGACUUUUAAGUCAGGGGUGAAAUCCCAAGGCUCAACCUUGGAACUGCCUUUGAUACUGGAAGUCUUGAAUUCGGGAGAGGUGAGUGGAACUGCGAGUGUAGAGGUGAAAUUCGUAGAUAUUCGCAAGAACACCAGUGGCGAAGGCGGCUCACUGGCCCGAUACUGACGCUGAGGUGCGAAAGCGUGGGGAGCAAACAGGAUUAGAUACCCCAGUAGUCCCUGUCUCUUAUAC
rnacentral:rRNA from 1 species